rnacentral:misc_RNA from 1 species
AAUUCUCAACAAUCCCUUUCUCUCUUGUGGGUUAGUGGAUGUUGGAUGAUGGAAGCUUGCUGGCUUUUGUGGGUCAGCUCUUCUGAAAUGCAUUAGCAGGGCCACCGUAUACACAGCUGUGGCUUCGGUAUUGAUGGUUGUCAUACCCAAGCAACAGAUGGGUGAUGUGCUCAGCUUAUAGCCGUCUCUCUGAGACAACAAACUUGACAAU